rnacentral:lncRNA from 1 species
GGGCAGUCCAUUUGGGACUGGUAUUGAAGGUUGACAGUCAGGUAUGUAAAGCAUACUCUAUACCAUAUCUUUGGUAUGAAAGUGAACAAUUGUUCUAUUAAGAAAGUUUCCAAAGUUAUUCAAUAACAUGUGAUCCAUAAUGGUUUUGUAUGAUGUCCUACAUUACCAAUGAACUUGUUUCCACCCUACAAGAUGUCAA